CAUGUGGAUCCAGCACGUGGCGAACGAAGAAGAAGAGGUUCCCAGAAGAGGAGUUACGCAGACGGUAGACCGGGUAGAUGUUUCGAACAAGACAGAUCGAAAUAAUAGAAGCUAAUUAACUUACAACUAUCUGUAUUCGCGCGGAAUAUAUUGGUGUUAACUGCCAAUUCAAAUGUGUUUACCGUGUUCGUCUAACGAUAUUCUUAGACCAGACGCCCGAAACACAUUUAUUUUCAAUUAGCGUGUGGGCCUCGUGUCUUUCGCCAGCACGCGAAACGAAGAAGGAGGAGGAGAAGAAGGAGACCCGAUAACGAUACCUCAUAAUCAUAAAAGUGAGCCGAAAUUUACGAGCGCAAAGUAGUCACGUUCCUCACGUUGAAGGAUGAACUUUCAGUAUGUGUCACAUUUUUACCAUUUUUUUUCUUUUAUUUUGUGCUACUAGGAAGCGCAUCGAAUAACAAAAAAACUUCAUUGUUCAAAGAAGUUUUCAUUGGAAAGAAUUGUGAAGCAACUGAUGAUGACAAUAGAAAAAAAAUUGUUCUAUAAUACAAAGAUGCAAAUUUAAAAGAAAAUCGAAAAAUUAAAAUUUGAUUUCUUAUUUGAAAAAUUUUCAAGUUCAACUUCACUGAUGAUUAUCGAUGAAUAAUGAAAUGGUUAUAUAAGCAUGAUAGCCACGAAUUCCCACGUAUUUUUUUCUGAAUUAUUUAGUAAAUGACGCGAUGAAAGAUUCAAAAGAAUGUAAUAGCAUUUAACAAGUGCAAUGUUUUAUUCAAUAUAGCAUAAAAAGAAACAAAAUCAAUGUAAAUAAAAUUUACAAAUAUAUCAAAAAAUCAUCUUCGCUAUCAUUAAUAUUCUUUUCACUUGGUAUACAUUCAACAGAUUGAUCUUUCAUUUUUAAUUACCUCUUCGUUACAUAAAUAAAAAUUUUUAAAAAGAUUGAUUUCUUAUUACUCGAGCAUAUAAAAAAACACAUUCGUAUUUACAUAUAUAGUGGCAGUGAAAACUCCAUUAAUUUUCACAAUCAUCGAUUUAUAAGAAAACGGGUAAAAUCAUCGAUGAAAUUGAGCAACGCUGGAGGAUUAAAAUCCUCUCCGUAUGUAAUGAUAACGGUGCGCGAGAUCGAUCGAGAGACCACCCCGUCGUUGCUCUGCCAACAAAAGGCGGAUCAAGAUCUAGGUUGAUUGAACUGAAUUAACGCGUUAAAGCGCGAGGAAGGAAUGAAGGAAAGGGGGCCGAAGGGAGGGGGCGUGAACGAGCGAUCGAAAACGCAAGGUUCCUGGGGGAUGGGAGGGUUGCUAGGUACGACCGUUCAAGGGGCACAGCUCGCAUAUGGAGAGAAACGUGGUAGUGCACCUGACCCAUAUAACGCCGCGGUAUUGAUCGACCUAAUUCCGUUAAAAGCCGGCCACCACCACCACCACCUCCUCGCCCGCAGAGAUUGCCGGCCGAAAUUACGUAAGCUAACCUACUGACUCACUGCACCCGUUGCCGCGCCACGAACUUUCUUCUUCUCGUAAUUUCCCCCCCUCUUCAACGAUGAUUUUUCCAAAUUUUUAUCAAUAUUUCGAGUUUCGAGAUUAAACUCGAUCUCGAAUUAUUGGAAUAAAUAAUUGUUCGAAAUUCUUUUGGAAUCUUUGAAUUUUGGAAAUAGGUCAUUGGAUCUUUGGAAAUCUUGAAGACGAUACAAUGGAUUAUUGAAUCUUUACAAUUUUGAAAAAUGGACUUUGGAUUUUUAAAAAGAUUGUUAUAAUCGCAUAUUUUUUUUAAUAAAACAUCCAUCAGUAUUCGAGACUUAAAAGGUUGGCAGCGAUUUCAUCCGAUUUCAUUGUUAGAAGCUAUAAAUUCUGCCACGUGGGUGCAAAGAAAAUAGAUAUAACCCCGCUCGGUAUAAUUAGAUGAUCAAGUUACUCGAAGCAUCCAUAUUGCUUCAAACAUUCCAGCACACUGAACAGACGUAUCUAAUAUCUUUGUAUUUAUUUUACCAUUAAUAUUAAUGCAAUCACUCUUUCUCGCAUCCUUUGAACCGUUAUCCAAUAACAUACAUUUCUCGUUCAUAAUUUAUAUAUCUCAUCCAAAAAAACAAUUAUUAUUUUAUACAACGCGAAACAAUUUAUAAUAAAAUUCGUCUAUUUUCAUAAAAGAAACACGAUUCUCUCAAAUUCCUCUAAAAUAAUCGAAACGAGUUAAAUCGUCAAUUUAUAUCAAAUGCUUUCUUCAAAUAUUCCUAGCCGCGAUACGAUAUGGCAGGAAAUCAGGAAACCAUAAAAUCCGCCCACUAAAAUAUUCAUUCGCUGGAACGUUCACUGGAAACCAAUGCCCAUAAACAUCGAAUAAUUUAAUCUCGGCCGUGCUAAAGACCGCGAUCGUGAUCGAAAUUGAUCGUCGAACGAAAAUCGAACGGAAGAUAUUUCGAGCUGGUGAAAUUCACGAAUUAUAAAAAGCGAGCGAUCGAUAGCCGCCUGGAAUAAUUCAAUUCUAUCGAACAACGAAAAGGAUGCUAAUGGGACGCGAAAACAGAACAUACAUAUCGUGAAAACGAAUGAUUUUAAUAAUCUUGAACGCGUUAAGAGCUUCGUUAUUAACAAGGAGAGGGGGGGGAAAAGGAAUUAGUUAUCACUUAUUCACGAAUGUAAUUAAAAGAUAUACUGUGCAAACUGUGAUCAAUUUAAAUUUCUUAUUUAUUUACACGUCUGUUUAGCCUUUCAUGCAUAAAGAUAUCCUAAUAAAGAUAUCUUUUAAAGAAUUGGAAUUGAAGUUAAUAUUUAUCGUUUCGAUAAUUGAAAUUUCAUUAUGAUGAAAUUGAUUGAAAAAUACACUAAUACACCAAAAAAAAAACAACGUACAAACAAAUCACUCAUGUUUCGGUUAAAACAAGUUUGAGGUUAAAUGAGAUAAAUUCUAUCGCGAUGAUAAAACGUUAUUAACCUCGAACUUCAAAAGAGACUGAAGAACACUGAAAUCAAUAUUUCGAUCGCACGAAUUGACGAUGAACGCAGGUUACCGAACAUAACCUUAAACUUGGAAAAGAGGAAAAAUUAAAAUCGAACAUUCGAACCGUAGAAAAUAUUAACGAUCGGUUUAGGCGACCGAUGAAAGAGAUCGAAAGCGUAAUAAGUAGUCACGGAUUCGAAGAAUUGUUUGCAGUUUCGUUACACACCCGAGAGAGAAACACAGUGUUGCACAAUGUACAAAGUUGCAAUCGCCGCAGAGCGGCGGAAUGGUCUCGCGUGCACGAUUGCGUGUGAAAGGCCAAACAGGGCCACCGUUCGUUCUACGAAACGAGGCUACACGGUGAAAGAAGAAGCCGCUCUUACAUCGUUUGUUUUUCCAUGGGCGAAAGCUGCUUCGUUGUAAUUUCGAAAUUUUAUCGUCGCGUCCGACCGUGCAUCAUGAAGUUGCCUCUUGUUAGGAAUAGUUCGAGUGGAAGAAAUUUUCGUGGAUGACGUUACUGUGAAAGGAGAGUGAAGUUGGAUCUAUAGGGAAUUUCGAUAGAGUCACCGAGUAUUUUUGUUGAUUAUAUCGAUGCUACGCUACAUAUACUAUACAACUAACUUCGCUUGGCUCGUUGUAUAUAUAUUUCGUAACACGAAAUGCGGGUAAUAAAACGCAAAAACCGAUUGAGAUUUUCCCUGCUCAAAUUAAUAGCAGCAACGAUCCACUAAACCACAGCCUGGAAGCACACCGUCGGUCGAUCGAGACCGAUCCACGCAUCCAACAAAAGCAAUCGGAGAUUAAAUCCGCUGGAAGGAGCAACUUUGUUCAACCUUCGAGAGGCCAGUCACACCGGUGAUGAAUUUCGCUUUGGCGAGGGAUCCUUGGCCGGCGUGCAAGGUCUUCGCCAAAGCGGGGGCCCGCUUUCGUCAUCGAUACGCCCAUCGUGAUUCGAAAGGCAUCCGAUUUCUCGCGUGUGUGACCUCUCCUUUCACGUGGGGCAGGUCGUGCCAUGGCCAGGUGCAGCCGAAAACACCGGCCGUCUACCUGCGUGCCUUCGCCCUCGGCUACCGGACGUUGCACCUCCUCCUCCUCCUCCUCCUCCUCUCCUCUUCUCUCCACCGCGCCAACUCGUCCUUUGUGAGGAGGAUCUCUUCGUCGAGGCCUCGGUCGUGCACGACUACGCCCAAAGGGGGAAAGGGGGAGGGAAGAAAGGAAAAAAAAAGAAAAGGAGGAGAAGGAAAAGUCGAAGUCUCGGGGUCGUUGCCAUCGUGAAACAGUCGUUCCACCCUUCUGUCGGAGGG